AUGCAAUGCAUAGAGACUGCGUCAAACCCAGGUCCUAGGUUACUAAGCACAACAGUAGCACAUGAUAAAAUUUCUUCAACUCAGAAAUAUCAAGAGAGGGGGCGUCAAAAGCUACCUGCUAUCUGUCUGAAGUCUACUGCCCAACUAUCUACACCAUGUGAGGUGACACAAGGGGAAGAAAAACGAAUAGGAAAAUAUAUGGACGAAAUGCUUGCACGGGAAGCUUUCAACAAAUGUCGACUCAAAAGGAGGGGCCAACAAAUUCCAGUUUGCAUCUUGAAAGUUACGAAAGAACAAGUUACACAAAAGUCUUCAGGGUUAUUCAGGAGCAAGUGA
rnacentral:rRNA from 1 species